rnacentral:rRNA from 1 species
CCUACGGGUGGCAGCAGUGGGGAAUAUUGGGCAAUGGGCGCAAGCCUGACCCAGCAACGCCGCGUGAAGGAAGACGGCUUUCGGGUUUUAAACUUCUUUUAAGAGGGAAGUGCAGAAGACGGUACCUCUUGAAUAAGCCACGGCUAACUACGUGCCAUCAGCCGCGGUACUACGUAGGUGGCAAGCGUUGUCCGGAUUUACUGGGUGUAAAGGGCGUGCAGCCGGGAAGACAAGUCAGGUGUGAAAUCCCGCGGCUCAACCGCGGAACUGCAUUUGACACUGUUUUUCUUGAGUACCGUAGAGGUCAUCGGAAUUCCUGGUGUAGCGGUGAAAUGCGUAGAUAUAAGGAAGAACACCAGUGGCGAAGGCAGAUGACUAGACGGCAACUGACGGUGAGGCGCGAAAGCGUGGGGAGCAAACAGGAUUAGAUACCCGUGUAGUC